rnacentral:tRNA from 1 species
UGCGGCUUAGAGUAAUGGCAACUCAAAGGUCUCAUAAGCCUUAGUCACAGGUUCAAUUCCUGUAGCCGCAACCA